GGAAUAUUGGACAAUGGGGGCAACCCUGAUCCAGCAAUGCCGCGUGUGUGAAGAAGGCCUGAGGGUUGUAAAGCACUUUCAGUGGGGAGGAGGAUUGAUAGGUUAAGAGCUAAUUGAUUGGACGUUACCCACAGAAGAAGCACCGGCUAACUCCGUGCCAGCAGCCGCGGUAAUACGGAGGGUGCGAGCGUUAAUCGGAAUUACUGGGCGUAAAGGGUGCGUAGGUGGUUAUAUAAGUUAUCUGUGAAAUCCCUGGGCUCAACCUGGGCAGGUCAGAUAAUACUGUAUGACUCGAGUAUAGGAGAGGGUAGUGGAAUUUCCGGUGUAGCGGUGAAAUGCGUAGAGAUCGGAAGGAACACCAGUGGCGAAGGCGGCUACCUGGCCUAAUACUGACACUGAGGCACGAAAGCGUGGGGAGCAAAC
rnacentral:rRNA from 1 species